AGCCGCCGCGGGAACACGUCGGGUGCGAGCGUUAAUCGGAAUUACUGGGCGUAAAGCGUGCGCAGGCGGUUGUGUAAGACAGGUGUGAAAUCCCCGGGCUUAACCUGGGAACUGCGCUUGUGACUGCACAGCUAGAGUAUGGCAGAGGGGGGUGGAAUUCCACGUGUAGCAGUGAAAUGUGUAGAGAUGUGGAGGAACACCGAUGGCGAAGGCAGCCCCCUGGGCCAAUACUGACGCUCAUGCACGAAAGCGUGGGGAGCAAACAGGAUUAGAUACCCCUGUAGUCCCUGUCUCUUAUACA
rnacentral:rRNA from 1 species